CAGGGACAACACAAACAAAGGAUCUGGGUCAACAUUUCCCUUUCUGGGAUAAAAAUAAUUGAUGAGAAAACUGGGGUAAUAGAGCAUGAACAUCCAGUAAAUAAGAUUUCUUUCAUUGCCCGUGAUGUGACAGACAACCGGGCAUUUGGUUAUGUGUGUGGAGGAGAAGGCCAGCAUCAGUUUUUUGCCAUAAAAACCGGGCAACAGGCUGAACCAUUAGUUGUUGAUCUUAAAGACCUUUUUCAAGUUAUCUAUAAUGUAAAGAAAAAGGAAGAAGAAAAGAAAAAGAUAGAGGAAGCCAACAAAGCAGUUGAGAAUGGGAGUGAGGCCCUAAUGAUUCUAGAUGACCAAACUAACAAACUGAAAUCGGGUGUUGACCAGAUGGAUUUGUUUGGGGACAUGUCUACACCUCCUGACCUAAAUAGUCCAACAGGUGACUAUUCAGAAGUCUAACAUUGUGGCUCCUGUUUGGUGUCCUAAGAACUUCUUCUGAAGUAUUUGAAAACGAGAACUCUACCAGCUGUGAACACUCAACUGUUCUAACCAGAGGUGGCUCAAAACAAAUAAAUAAAUAUUGAAAUCACAAGCUUUUGCAAUACAUUUUAUCCUACCUUUUGAUUGUAUAAAGAUCCCUAGAUUAAUAGCUCUUCCAAUCCAUUUCUCUGAUUAAUUUUUUUUUAAUUAUAAGCUC
rnacentral:sRNA from 1 species